rnacentral:ncRNA from 1 species
AAAUGUUGAGCGGUAAGACCGUUGUAGGUUCUUCCGGCGUUCCCAUCCAUCGGUUGGCUAAGCCGGGGGGUAACAAGCCUACAGGGCACGCUCUUUUU